UAAAUUUUUACUUUACCUCUCUUUAUGCAUGUCUGACAUCUUUGUAAUGGUGGCAACAUAUAUAUUUUCAUUGGAGAUGUAUUAAAUCCAAAUAUAUCAAGUGGAAAUUAAUACAGCCUUUCUACUUUUAACAUUAAUAUCAAUAAAUUGCAUGCGAGUAAAGUCACCUUAAAGAACCUUUAAUGAACACCAUUCAUAAUAACAGAAUUAAAUGAGUCUGAAAUCUGGUGUUGAAGAUUCUAUGUAUGGACUUUCUUGAAUUCCUAAAAUAACUGAUUGAAAACUUUCAAAAGAAAAGGGUAAAGUUUUGUGCGAAUAUGAUGUAGACCUAACCGCUUGUUGACAUCAAAUGAAUCAAAUAUUUGAGAUCUAAUGUCCCGUAAAAUUAACACUCAAGCUGGGAAAUAUCGCCAAUUACAGUGUACCAUAACUUCCAGCUCCUGUGAUGUGUCCUUGGAUUUUAAGGUUACAACGAAAAGGUAUUCAUUACAAGUCAUUUUGUUUCUAAUGCAGAGAGAUUCUAUAUGAUUUGAUUUUUAGGUCAGACACUGUGAAGAGUUGAGUUCACUACCCUCCGUUCAGGAAGUGAUCGAUCCAUCAUCUGAUAUACUUUGGGGAUAGUACACUAGAGGAUUUUUCAGCCUUCCAACAAAUCAAACAUGGAGUGCGUAUUGUACUGAUGAUUUUAGAGGAAAGAUAAAAUGCUGUUCGAAUUACAGAAACGUUUCAGGAAGUUGUGAACCAUGUAUAGGAUCAUUUGGAGUGGACUGUAAUACCACCUGCUUGGAGGGAUUUUAUGGAUUUGGAUGUAAAAAGAAAUGUGAUUGUUUGCCAACUGAAUCAUGCCACAAAGUUCAUGGUUGUCUAGACUGCAGAGGAUCGUUUGGAGAAAACUGCAGUCAGUCCUGUCCUUUUGGAUUCUACGGCAUUAACUGCCUUGAAAAGUGUAACUGUAGCAGUGAUACCCACUGGUGUGACAAUAUUUCCGGUUGCAAGAUUAAAGAUAACGAUGUGAAUAAUGGGACACAGGAAACCAAAACAAAGCAUUUAGCUUUCGAUGUCAUGGGAUCAAUCAUUGGAACGUCAGCAUUUUGGUGGUUGAUGUAUUUAGUGUGCUGCUGGAAACAGAGAUCCAAUAGUACGAUGAAAGUUACCAUGCAAGAGCAGGGACAUUCUGGCAAUAGGCUAGGCGAAUCACAAGAGCAAACGGAACGAGAAACACCAGAAUUUGGAAGACAUCUACGGUCUAAUUCGCGUCAAACUAUAGAUGAUGAAAUAAAUGCUGACUCAAGAAAAACUAUAACUCAUUCACGAUAUCAUUCACAAGACACAUACGGACGAUUGACUGGGUCUUCUGAUGACUUCAGUCUCUCAAAUAUUCUCGAACAUCACACCCAACCGUCAGUAUCUACUUUCAGCAGCAAUUAUAACAGUAUAAAACUAAAAGAAUCUCAUCGACAUGACAGCAAUGAUUCUGAAACCUUUCCGGGAGAGAGUAACACUAUAUCAAUUGAUACCAGCUACAAUGUACAUGAUUCGGAAAGUGAAAUUACCGGGGUACAACCUUGUUCAAUGUAUAAACAUCGACCGUAUAGUUCAGUGAAAUAUAAUAGGAAAUAUAAUAGGAAAAACGAAGAAGAGCCCGCGUUAAAAAACACUGUUGAAUGCCAGGUUCAUCCUGAUGAUAGGCUGUUUAAUCAGGACGAAAAUGCGUCUGAUGUUGUCGAAGAUGUUGAUGAAGUCUAUGGGUUUCACAGAAAACAUGUAUGAUUUUACAUUCCAAUACUUGGAUGGAUGAUUUUGCUUGACUGUUACUUCUACAAGAAAUUAAAUUCAUUCUUAAUAUCAGAUCAUAUGAACAAGUUCAACACAGAAAGUUUGAUGUUUGGGGUGGGAGUUCGGUUGUUUUAGGAGAGAUUUUGGUCAUUCUUUUAAGUUUGAUGACAUCCUAGUUAACAUCAUCAUAUAUCCACAAUAAAAGAUGGGAUGCAUAGCUCU